rnacentral:lncRNA from 1 species
UACCUCCAUAGGUUCAGGCAGAGCUGGCUGUUUGGGCAAGUGCUAAGUUGACCAUGCACAGUGAAAGUAUAGCUUUCUUCCCAUUAACCUUAUCAACAGAUAUGUAUAUGCUAACUGAUCAACAAAUAGUGUGUGAUUCUGAACAAAAGCAGUAUGAUAUGGGAGCUAUCUUCUAGUCUAUAUUUGAGCACUGAAUCUUACUAUACAGAUAUA